AUUGAACGCUGGCGGCAGGCCUAACACAUGCAAGUCGAACGAGUGGCGGACGGGUGAGUAAUGUCUGGGAAACUGCCUGAUGGAGGGGGAUAACUACUGGAAACGGUAGCUAAUACCGCAUACCAUCGGAUGUGCCAAGAUGGGAUUAGCUAGUAGGUGGGGUAAAGGUUCACCUAGGCGACGAUCCCUAGCUGGUCUGAGAGGAUGACCAGCCAAGCUGGCAAUGAGACACGGUCCCGACUCCUCCGUGCGGCAGCAGUGUGGAAUAUUGCACAAUGGGCGCAAGCCUGAUGCAGCCAUGCCGCGUGUAUGAAGAAGGCCUUCGGGUUGUAAAGUACUUUCAGCGGGGAGGCGUUACCCGCAGAAGAAGCACCGGCUAACUCCGUGCCAGCAGCCGCGGUAAUUC
rnacentral:rRNA from 1 species